CAGUCGCCGCGGUAAUACGAGGGGUGCAAGCGUUAUUCGGAUUGAUUGGGUGUAAAGGAUGUGCAGACGGCUUAUUAAGUCACUUGUUAAAUUCUUCGGCCUAACUGAAGGUCUGCAAGUGAUACUGAUGAGCUAGAGGGUGGAAGAGAGAAGUGGAAUUCUCGGAGUAGCGGUAAAAUGCGUAGAUCUCGAGAGGAACACCAUGGCGAAGGCAGCUUCUUGGUCCAUUCCUGACGUUCAUACACGAAAGCGUGGGGAGCAAACAGGAUUAGAUACCCCCGUAGUCCCUGUCUCUUAUACA
rnacentral:rRNA from 1 species